rnacentral:rRNA from 1 species
AGCAGCCGCGGUAAUUCCAGCUCCAAUAGCGUAUAUUAAAGUUGCUGCAGUUAAAAAGCCCGUAGUUGAAUUUCGGGACCAAUAUGUCGGUCGUGCCUCGGUACGUACUGGCAUCGUUGGUUUCUCCCUUCUGACGAACCAUGAUGUCAUUCAUUUGGUGUCGUGGGGAAUCAGGACUGUUACUUUGAAAAAUUAGAGUGUUUAAAGCAGGCUCACGCUUGAAUACAUUAGCAUGGAAUAAUGAAAUAGGACGUUUGAUUCUAUUUUGUUGGUUUCUAGGAUCGACGUAAUGAUUAAUAGGGAUAGUUGGGGGCAUUAGUAUUCAAUUGUCAGAGGUGAAAUUCUUGGAUUUAUUGAAGACUAACUACUGCGAAAGCAUUUGCCAAGGAUGUUUUCAUUAAUCAAGAACGAAAGUUAGGGGAUCGAAGACGAUCAGAUACCGUCGUAGUC